GCCAGUGUGGCAUAGUGCUUUGAGUGUUAUAAACUAUGACUCUGGAGACCAGAGUUUGAAUCCCAGCUCAGCCA